rnacentral:rRNA from 1 species
GACGAACGCUGGCGGCGUGCUUAACACAUGCAAGUCGAACGAGAGCGUAGAGAAAGCUUGCUUUUUCUACAAUCUAGUGGCAAACGGGUGAGUAACGCGUAAACAACCUGCCCUACGGAUGGGGACAACAGCUGGAAACUGCUGCUAAUACCGAAUACGUUCCGAAAGUCGCAUGACUAUCGGAAGAAAGGAUGGCCUCUAUUUAUAAGCUAUCGCCGGAGGAGGGGUUUGCGUCUGAUUAGCUAGUUGGAGGGGUAACGGCCCACCAAGGCGACGAUCAGUAGCCGGUCUGAGAGGAUGAACGGCCACAUUGGAACUGAGACACGGUCCAGACUCCUACGGGAGGCAGCAGUGGGGAAUCUUCCGCAAUGGGCGAAAGCCUGACGGAGCAACGCCGCGUGAGUGAAGACGGCCUUCGGGUUGUAAAGCUCUGUUAUACGGGACGAAUAAUCUUGUGGUUAAUACCCAUGAGAAGUGACGGUACCGUAAGAGAAAGCCACGGCUAACUACGUG